rnacentral:lncRNA from 1 species
CUCCGGCCUCAUUGGGUGCGUGAGGAGGGAAGGGUGGAUCCUAAAAGGUAAUACUGAGCCUUCAUUCAAACUAAAAGGCUGGAAGGGAGGCCGCUGCCUUUGUUUGCCAUGGAUGGGUAGGGGCUGCACUGAGCAGCACCGGUGUUCUUCAUCCGGCUGCACCCCCAACAGAGCUCUUUCUUCCCCAGAUCCCUUUUACAGUUGGAUUCUCCCUCUUGGAUCUGGCUCUGCCUUAGUCCAACCUAGAGGGAUCAGCUUCGCCCACGCCCACUCUCACCCGGAACCUUUCAUCUCUUAUUGAAGCCUUUUAGGCCCAUUGGGAUGUUCAUUAGAACUCUGAAAACUACAGUUCUCCCCUUUAUGAGGACUGCACCACAGCUCGCCCUCUCCUGGGUUCCGGUAAGAAGAGAUUCCAACACCACUCUUUUUUCAGAAUUCAGAAAGGCAAGAGACCACCUUACUGAGCUUCAAACUGGGGCUGGGAACGCUGCCAUGAAUUGGGCUUGGUCUGUCUGAAGGGAGCCACCUUUUCGACAAUCCUUAGACUUCUUUUGCCUGUUGGAAUUACACCUUGGAUCGUGGCGAAGUCUAUAGAGGUCAGAUUAAGAAGAACCAAAGCAGAAUAAACGUAGAAGCCGAUGCUGAGUUCACAAGUGAGGACGACCUCUUCCUAUAUGCUUUGCUGUACCCUGCGUUUUGAACAUUAAGGACGAGAUAGGAGGCCCAUAAUGUUUCUUCUUGCUUUAAUCCUAUCGUGGCAACGUUGACUUCCAGUAAGAAAGAGCCUGGUUGCAGAGUGAGCCCAUGGGACAGCCCUCUGAAAUUAUACUGCUUACAACCAUGCUGAGUCUGCAAGGACUUCGUCCAAGCCUUUCCGUCCAGGACCUCAAACAGAUCCAAUCACAAGAAGAGAGAUUUCAGGAAAGAGAAAAUUAUUCCUAUCAUCAGGGUUUUUGAAGAACAUGAAAUGACUGGGAAAAUAAUCACGUUAAGUGGAAAAAGAAAAGAAAUCUAUCUGUUGUAAUUUUCAAAUAAUUUUUAAAUAAAU